GACGAACGCUGGCGGCGUGCUUAACACAUGCAAGUCGAACGGAAAGGCCCUGCUUUUGUGGGGUGCUCGAGUGGCGAACGGGUGAGUAACACGUGAGUAACCUGCCCUUGACUUUGGGAUAACUUCAGGAAACUGGGGCUAAUACCGGAUAGGAGCUCCUGCUGCAUGGUGGGGGUUGGAAAGUUUCGGCGGUUGGGGAUGGACUCGCGGCUUAUCAGCUUGUUGGUGGGGUAGUGGCUUACCAAGGCUUUGACGGGUAGCCGGCCUGAGAGGGUGACCGGCCACAUUGGGACUGGGAUACGGCCCAGCCCCCUACGGGAGGCAGCAGUGGGGAAUAUUGCACAAUGGGCGGAAGCCUGAUGCAGCAACGCCGCGUGCGGGAUGACGGCCUUCGGGUUGUAAACCGCUUUCGCCUGUGACGAAGCGUGAGUGACGGUAAUGGGUAAAGAAGCACCGGCUAACUACGUG
rnacentral:rRNA from 1 species